AACGAACGCUGGCGGCAGGCUUAACACAUGCAAGUCGAGCGCCCCGCAAGGGGAGCGGCAGACGGGUGAGUAACGCGUGGGAAUCUACCCAUCUCUACGGAAUAACGCAUGGAAACGUGUGCUAAUACCGUAUACGUCCUUCGGGAGAAAGAUUUAUCGGGGAUGGAUGAGCCCGCGUUGGAUUAGCUAGUUGGUGGGGUAAAGGCCUACCAAGGCGACGAUCCAUAGCUGGUCUGAGAGGAUGAUCAGCCACACUGGGACUGAGACACGGCCCAGACUCCUACGGGAGGCAGCAGUGGGGAAUAUUGGACAAUGGGCGCAAGCCUGAUCCAGCCAGGCCGCGUGAGUGAUGAGGGCCCUAGGGUUGUAAAGCUCUUUCACCGGUGAAGAUAAUGACGGUAACCGGAGAAGAAGCCCCGGCUAACUUCGUGCCAGCCGCCGCAGUAACAC
rnacentral:rRNA from 1 species